rnacentral:rRNA from 1 species
CCUACGGGUGGCUGCAGUAGGGAAUCUUCCGCAAUGGACGCAAGUCUGACGGAGCAACGCCGCGUGAGUGAAGAAGGUUUUCGGAUCGUAAAGCUCUGUUGUAAGUCAAGAACGAGUGUGAGAGUGGAAAGUUCACACUGUGACGGUAGCUUACCAGAAAGGGACGGCUAACUACAUGCCAGCAGCCGCGGUAAUACGUAGGUCCCGAGCGUUGUCCGGAUUUAUUGGGCGUAAAGCGAGCGCAGGCGGUUUGAUAAGUCUGAAGUUAAAGGCUGUGGCUUAACCAUAGUACGCUUUGGAAACUGUUUAACUUGAGUGCAAGAGGGGAGAGUGGAAUUCCAUGUGUAGCGGUGAAAUGCGUAGAUAUAUGGAGGAACACCGGUGGCGAAAGCGGCUCUCUGGCUUGUAACUGACGCUGAGGCUCGAAAGCGUGGGGAGCAAACAGGAUUAGAUACCCCGGUAGUC